rnacentral:lncRNA from 1 species
GAGGUGUCCUUCCUCUUGGCUCUUUGGGAUGCAGAGAAAUCAGGAGUGACUUCACUGAGCAGGAUGAAGACAAGGAGACCAGAGCAGUAAAAACAAAAGGAAGAAGCAAUAUAGGGAG